rnacentral:rRNA from 1 species
UACGUAGGGGGCUAGCGUUGUCCGGAUUUAUUGGGCGUAAAGAGCUCGUAGGCGGUUGGGUAAGUCGGGUGUGAAAACUCCAGGCUCAACUUGGAGAUGCCACCCGAUACUGCUCUGACUUGAGUUCGGUAGGGGAGUGGGGAAUUCCUGGUGUAGCGGUGAAAUGCGCAGAUAUCAGGAGGAACACCGGUGGCGAAGGCGCCACUCUGGGCCGAAACUGACGCUGAGGAGCGAAAGCGUGGGUAGCAAACAGG